GCCAGACUCCUACGGGAGGCAGCAGUAGGGAAUCUUUCACAAUGGGCGAAAGCCUGAUGGAGCAACGCCGCGUGCAGGAUGAAGGCCUUCGGGUUGUAAACUGCUUUUAUAAGCGAGAAAUAUGAUGGUAACUUAUGAAUAAGGAUCGGCUAACUCCGUGCCAGCAGCCGCGGUAAUACGGAGGAUCCAAGCGUUAUCCGGAUUUAUUGGGUUUAAAGGGUGCGUAGGCGGUUUAGUAAGUCAGCGGUGAAAUUUUGGUGCUCAACACCAAACGUGCCGUUGAUACUGCUGAGCUAGAGAGUAGUUGCGGUAGGCGGAAUGUAUGGUGUAGCGGUGAAAUGCUUAGAGAUCAUACAGAACACCGAUUGCGAAGGCAGCUUACCAAACUAUAUCUGACGUUGAGGCACGAAAGCGUGGGGAGCAAACAGGAUUAGAUACCCUAGUA
rnacentral:rRNA from 1 species